GCCCUCUGGUUCCCUUUCCCAUCGGAUCUGUGCACCGAUCUUGGUGGUAGUAAAAAAAGGGAAAGCAACAUCGGAGCUGGCCUCACAGCUCCGUAGAGUGUGGGCUAGUUUCAAACGAGG